rfam:Ornithorhynchus anatinus chromosome 4, whole genome shotgun sequence.
AGCAGUGUGGCUCAGUGGAAAGAGCACAGGCUUGGGAGGCAGAGGUCAUGGGUUCUAAUCCCGUAUCUGCCA